UAGGGAAUCUUCCGCAAUGGACGCAAGUCUGACGGAGCAACGCCGCGUGAGUGAAGAAGGAUUUCGGUUCGUAAAACUCUGUUGUUAGAGAAGAACAGCGCAUAGAGUAACUGUUAUGCGUGUGACGGUAUCUAACCAGAAAGCCACGGCUAACUACGUGCCAGCAGCCGCGGUAAUACGUAGGUGGCAAGCGUUGUCCGGAUUUAUUGGGCGUAAAGCGAGCGCAGGCGGUCAAUUAAGUCUGAUGUGAAAGCCCCCGGCUCAACCGGGGAGGGUCAUUGGAAACUGGUUGACUUGAGUGCAGAAGAGGAGAGUGGAAUUCCAUGUGUAGCGGGGAAAUGCGUAGAUAUAUGGAGGAACACCGGUGGCGAAAGCGGCUCUCUGGUCUGUAACUGACGCUGAGGCUCGAAAGCGUGGGGAGCGAACAGG
rnacentral:rRNA from 1 species